UAGAAGUUAUUACAAGCCAACUAAGUGUAAGAAAAUUGUUUUCUAUAAAAUUGAUCCGUACAGACUAGAAACUAGACAAAAAUAAUAACGACAAUAAUUUUACAGCAUGUAUCAUCAAACAAAAAACAGGACAGUUACAGUUAGACGAAACAUAAGACCAAAAACGACGAAAUUAGUUUCCCCCUGAAGAAGACACCAACCCCGUGUCGAAACGUUGGGCAAGUAAUAAACAUCGUUUGUUAGUUCAAGACUGAGUAGCCGGUUUUAAUUAAUUGUUGGAACCAUACAGUCGAACCUCCAGCAGAAG